CAGUAGUCACGAGUUUGAUCCUGGCUCAGAUUGAACGCUGGCGGCAGGCCUAACACAUGCAAGUCGAGCGGGGUUUUCGGACCUAGCGGCGGACGGGUGAGUAAUGCGUAGGAAGCUACCCGAUAGAGGGGGAUACCAGUUGGAAACGACUGUUAAUACCGCAUAAUGUCUACGGACCAAAGUGUGGGACCUUCGGGCCACAUGCUAUCGGAUGCGCCUACGUGGGAUUAGCUAGUUGGUGAGGUAAUGGCUCACCAAGGCGACGAUCCGUAACUGGUCUGAGAGGAUGAUCAGCCACACUGGGACUGAGACACGGCCCAGACUCCUACGGGAGGCAGCAGUGGGGAAUAUUGGACAAUGGGCGAAAGCCUGAUCCAGCCAUGCCGCGUGUGUGAAGAAGGUCUUCGGAUUGUAAAGCACUUUAAGUUGGGAGGAAGGGUAGUAACCUAAUACGUUGCUACUUUGACGUUACCGACAGAAUAAGCACCGGCUAACUUCGUG
rnacentral:rRNA from 1 species